CCUACGGGUGGCAGCAGUGAGGAAUAUUGGUCAAUGGGCGGGAGCCUGAACCAGCCAAGCCGCGUGAGGGAAGAAGGUACAGCGUAUCGUAAACCUCUUUUGUCAGGGAACAAAGGCGGGGACUAGUCCCCGGAUGAGGGUACCUGAAGAAAAAGCAUCGGCUAACUCCGUGCCAGCAGCCGCGGUAAUACGGAGGAUGCGAGCGUUAUCCGGAUUUAUUGGGUUUCAAGGGUGCGCAGGCGGUCUGUUAAGUCAGCGGUCAAAGCCCGGGGCUCAACCCCGGCCCGCCGUUGAAACUGGCAGUCUCGAGUUGGAGAGAAGUAUGCGGAAUGCGCGGUGUAGCGGUGAAAUGCAUAGAUAUCGCGCAGAACUCCGAUUGCGAAGGCAGCAUGCCGGCUCCACACUGACGCUGAGGCACGAAAGCGUGGGUAUCGAACAGGAUUAGAUACCCCGGUAGUC
rnacentral:rRNA from 1 species